UACGGAGGGUGCGAGCGUUGUUCGGAAUCACUGGGCGUAAAGCGCGUGUAGGCGGCCUUGUAAGUCUGGUGUGAACGCCCGGGGCUUACCCCCGGACGUGCACUGGAGACUGCAAGACUAGAGUACCGGAGAGGAAAGUGGAAGUCCUGGUGUAGCGGUGAAAUGCGUAGAGAGCAGGAGGAACAGCGGUGGCGAAGGCGGCGUUCUGGACGGAUACUGACGCUGAGACGCGAAAGCGUGGGGAGCAAACAGG
rnacentral:rRNA from 1 species